rnacentral:lncRNA from 1 species
AAGAGGAAUGAAAGCUUUGAAGAUAUAUUUGUGCAGAUGUUUUUAGCUGGCUUUGGAGUGCUUAAUUGCUGGCCCAUCUAUGAAGCCAUGUUAUUGAGAAGGGAUAAAGGAAGGAUGCCAUUAAAGAUAACUUUAUUAUCAACCUUCCUAGCAUGGCUUGUUUAUCUGAUAUCCUCUUCAGCCUUUUGAAAACUAGUAUUGUUUUGUAUCUUGAUUCUAGGACAAUGCUCUCCGGGUGGAGAUAGUAUCGUUUUGUGCAAUUCUUGUAUUGUAUCUUCAAGAUCAUACUACAAUACUUGAGUAUCGUCUCUUUUAUAUAUACAUUUUAAAUAAAUUAGGGUCAUUAUAUUUUUUUUCUUAUGUUCUGUUGGAUGUUAUGGAUAAAUAGAUGUUCAUAUUUGAUUUGAUUGAAUUUUGAAACGUACCAUAGGAGCGUUUCAAUUCAACCUUUCUCAAAGCAAUCUAUUUGUAUUCAUAUAAGCAGCGAGCAUGCUAUUAACUAUGUCAGCUGCGUUCAGUUUCAGACUCCAAUUACUAUCAAGUCACCGGGCAGAAAGACGUGGCCAUUCCUUUUAGCAGUGUUUACACCAUUUUAGAGUUUUGGUGUUGGGUUGGAGAUGAUAUCAUGCAUCUCUGCCUCUUUUAACACCUCUUCGACUGAUUUCCUUCUCAGACCCCCUCAUUUGCUUCUCUGGACUCUUUAAUUCAGUCUUUAAGAUUGCAAGGCAGUCUUCUACAGAGUCAGAAGUGCAAACCUUCAUAGAGAAGCUACAAACAAAGAACUAAUUCCAGUAACAGGUGUUCAAUAACUUGUGAAUUAAAUCUUAGAGAGUAAAGAAUGAACUCUCAAAAUGCAUCACAAGAAGUAGAAGCACUUUAAAAAAGCUGAGAAUGCUAACUUGUCUCUCACAACUUCUGAUUCUUUUCCAAACACUUUAUUAACUUAUUUAUUUCUAACGUCUACUCCACUUCUUUAAUUUAAUCAAGAAGUGACUUCUUUUAAGUUAACCCAAACGGCCCAAUAAUCUCUUAGAACGUCUCUCCAAGAAAUCUUGGUUAAAAUUCACUAAUACAUACCAUAAAUAAAAAUAGAGGCUAUGUACAAAACAAUUCAACUCCAAUGAGACCUUCCCCUUAUAUAUAAUUAUAGCCAACCUUUAUUGAUGUAGCAAGAUUUUACAUCAUUUAUUACUAUAUUAAAACAUUAUAUUAUAUUUACACAACUUGAAAUAAUAAUUAUACACUUUUUUAAAAUAUAGCCGAUCAAAAUAGUUAGUACCAUUAAAACACAAUAUUUUACAGGUUCCACAAAUUUUAUAUAAUAUCUUGCGAUCAAAUUUAACUAAUCAGUUACAGACUUAUAGUCAAUACUAUUAUACUAUUGUAGAUGCUAUUUAAUUAAUUAGUUAUAAUCAAUAGUAUUCUAGAUGCUAAAGUCCUGUUUACCAAGUAUUUUUUAACCAACACAAUUGCAGAUCCUCUUAUAAUUACAGUCUAUGAUUUGUUGGAAUUAGGAAUCGACGAUCACUUCAAGAUUUGGAAAUGUUAUACCCGCUCCAAUCUCCAAACGGAUACAAGCCGUCCCGAAUGAGGACUAGAGAUCUCUGCGGAGAUUCGAGAAAUUUGUCUUUUCUAAAAAAAAUUAUAUUAUAAUAUAUGAUCUUUGAUUAAAAUUAUUUUAGUAAGUUGUCAUAAUAUACAAUGUUUUUAGUUAUAUUUUGAGUACCAAUUCGAAUAAUACUCAUUUAUAAUAAAAAUAAAAGAGUAGAUUUAAUAUAAUUUGUUUGUAUUAUAAUAUGAAAUGAUUUAAUCAAUGUGAUGAAAGAGAUUAUUUAAAUUUUCAUAUAUAUAUAUAUAUAUAUAUAUAUAUAUAUAUAUUUAUCAUUAAUAUUUUGUAUAAUAUAAUAUACAUAAAUAUAUUCAUAUUAUAUAUGAAAAUCGGGAAAUUUCAAGACGGUUCGCGACCAGAAAAUAUUAAUUUUUGAAUCCGUCCCGAUCUCCGAAUUCUGGUAUAUAAUUUUUUUCCAAUCUCUAUCCCGUACUCGAGAGAAUCUCUUAUUUAUGAUUUCGUGCCGAACGGCCCGAACCUGAUAAACGAAAAAAUAGGUGGUCUUUUCUGGAAUCGAGCGGGACAGACUGGAUCGGGUCGGUCAGAUGGGACAGGGACACGUCCUCAGUUGACAUCAGGCUUAAAACUAGGGGUGUAAACAAACCAAACUGUUGGUGAGCUACUCGAGCUCGGCUCGUAAAAUAUUCGGAUUUGAUUCGGUAGUAAUCAAGCCGAGCUCGAGAUCGAGCUAUUUGGAUGUUUUACCGAGCUGAGCUCGAGCUUCAAAUUACUCGGCUCCUAAGGUUCGCGAGCCUUAUCGAGCCUCUACUAUUAUUUAAUCUUUUUUAUUAUAAAUAUAUUUUUACAAAUAUAUUUAAUAUUUUAUUUAUAAAUCAUAUAUUUAAUCGAAUCGAACUCGAGCCAAACCGAUCAUAUUUCGAGUUUUUGUCAAUAUUUAGUGUCUCGAUUCGAGAUUCCGAGCUGAACUCGAGCCUAUCAAACUGUUUACGAGCCGAGUUUCGAACUUGAAAUUAAAGCCUCGGUCGAACUCGAACUCGAGCUCGAGCCCCGAACUUUUCAAUUGAGUUCGAGCCGAGCCUGACAGUGUUCUACUUGUCUCGGCUUGAUUACACCCCUACUCAGAACUCAGAAGAAAGCCAGUAUAAUAUGAUCGCCCACCACGUUUUUUUUCCCUGUCAUCAAUUGCUAGAGCUCAGUGCACCUGAAGCUCAACCAUAUAUGACCAUAUCAUAUUAAUGACUGUUGCAAUCAACCAUUUGUGAUCUUUGUCUGUACAGGGACAGCACUUGGAAAUAAUAAAUCCUCUUUUUCUUUUCUUUGUUUUCCUUCUUUUCCAAAUCAUAUAAAUCGUUUUUAUUAUCACUAACACAAUCAAAACAGACUGCUGCAAUAUCACAAUGUAAUAGUUGAACACCAGUAGCAAUAGCAACUACAAUUGUGUUAAAUUGAAGUAGGCCGAGGUCCUUACAUUCCCUAUAGGCAGACUAUUUCCGCCAACAUAAAAAGUCAAACUUAAUCAGAGAGAUCCAGAAUUCAAAUUUUAUUUUGUCGUAUCAGUAACAACUAGGGAGGUGUUUGGUUCAUGGUUAAUGAGCCCGGUUAACGGGAAUCGGAACCUAAGAGGGAGCAUCCAUGGAUAUGUGACAGAUGAAGAAGUGCGCGGAACUUUUGCUGUAUGGCAUAAUACACCUGGUUUCACUCCCAAAAAUCAUCCUACUAUUAUUCAGGUUCAUUCUUAGUCUGUUUUCUAAUUAAUAAUUUGAAUUUUAAAUUUGUACAGAAUCAUCUAAUAACUGAGCUAGAAUUUUUCAAUUAAAGACAGGAAAAAAGAAUAAUCGGAUUUACUAGGCUACAACGAAUCUAGCUUUUCUGAGUAGUUUCCUGAAGGCUAUCAAAUUAUUGAACUUGAAUCUCUUAUCUUUCAUAGUUAUUGUUAUUAGUACUUACUCCGUGCUGAAUAAACCUGUAGCAAAGUUUGAUCCCAACCCCGAUCCGUAGUAAAUCAGAAUAUAUUGCUUCAAUAUGGAAAACAGGAUGAGUAAUAGAUACUAGCAUAUUUAUAACUAUAAAAAUUAGUACCAAUUAUAGAACUAAUGAUGAGGAUCUUGCAGAUAAUCAUGGAGAGCGCCACUGAAAAGGAUGAGUCCGGUAACAGAAUGCCCAAUCUUGUGUAUGUGUCCAGAGAAAAGAAGAAGACUACACCCCACAACUACAAGGCUGGUGCGCUCAACGUUCUGGUAAUAAUGUUUAUAAUUGUGUUGAUCAUACACAUAUAUAGGUAAACAGAAAGUUAAUUUUCAUUUCUUGUUUAUUUCACAUAUUUAACAUAUUAAUGCAUAAUAAAGCUUCGAGUAUCAGCAACCAUGACAAAUGCACCGCUGGUGUUGACGCAAGACUGUGACAUGUUUUCAAAUGAUCCUAAGACACCACUCCGUGCACUCUGCUACUUUAUGGACCCUGGAAUGGACCCGAACUUGGCGUUGGUCCAGUUCCCUCAAAUUUUCCAUGGGAUUAACAAGGAUGAUAUAUAUAAUGCUGAACUUAAAGAAAUGCUUGUCAAUAAUAAUUUGGGAAUGGAUGGUUUAUUAGGACCACCUUAUAUAGGUUCUGGGGGGUUUUUUCGUCGACAAGCUUUGUUUGGAACUCCAGUAUCACAUAUACCUCCCCAGCCUUCAGAAAUUAGUCCUCAUCAUGUUGUUAACAAGUCAAUGCAGUCCGCAGAGAUUUUGGCUCUGGCACACCAUGUUGGAGGCUGUAACUUUGAGGUUCAAACCGAGUGGGGAUCAGAGGUCAGACACUUUGGUACAUUUAUUAAUAAAAUUCACAUAUUACUUCGAACCAAAAUAUUAAAUAUUUAUUCUCUAAUUGUCGCAGAUGGGAUUUAGGUAUGGCUCUUUAGUGGAGGAUUUUAACACAGGCUACAGAAUGCAAUGCCAAGGAUGGAGAUCUGUUCUCUGCAAUCCAAUAAGACCAGCAUUCUUAGGAAGUUCACCAAUAACACUCCAUGACAUGCUCAAUCAAUGCAAAAGGUGGUCCAUGGGUCUUCUUGAUAUCACUUUUUCCAGAUAUAACCCUCUUUUCUUUGGUGUGCGGUUCAUGAACCCUCUCCAAGCCUUCUGCUUUGGACACUAUGCGAUUUGGCCCAUUUGGUCGAUUCCUCUUAUUAUCUAUUCCUUCUUGCCUCAGCUCGCUCUAAUCAAUUCUUCACAUGCUAUUUUCCCAAAGGUAAGCUAAAAACUGCACUACUACAGGGUCGAUCAAGUUCAAAUUUUGUAACGUGAAGAGUUGGUACACAGUAUAAAUAGGUAUUCAUAGUAGUUUAAUUAUUUUUGCUCUAAUUAUGAUGUCAGGUGACAGAUCCUUGGCUGUUUUUCUUGUAUGUGUUUCUUUUCCUUGGUUCAUAUGUGCAACAUCUUCUCGAAUAUGUUACAUUUGGAUCUCCAGCCAAAAGGUGGUGGAACAGUCAGAGAGUGUGGAUGAUGAGAGCACUUUCAAGCUUUCCAUUUGCAUUGAUUGAAUAUAUACUAGAAUGCUGGGGAGUAUCAUCGUUUGGGUUCAAUGUGACUAGCAAGGUACUUGAUAGUGAACAAAGCAAACGUAACGCAGAAUGUAUGUUUGAAUUCGGAGUGCCUUCUCCACUUUUUGUUCCAAUAAAUAUGGCGGCAAUGAUCAACUUGUGGGCGUUUUUACAUGGGAUAAAACAAGUGAUUAAGAGGAAUGAAAGCUUUGAAGAUAUAUUUGUGCAGAUGUUUUUAGCUGGCUUUGGAGUGCUUAAUUGCUGGCCCAUCUAUGAAGCCAUGUUAUUGAGAAGGGAUAAAGGAAGGAUGCCAUUAAAGAUAACUUUAUUAUCAACCUUCCUAGCAUGGCUUGUUUAUCUGAUAUCCUCUUCAGCCUUUUGAAAACUAGUAUUGUUUUGUAUCUUGAUUCUAGGACAAUGCUCUCCGGGUGGAGAUAGUAUCGUUUUGUGCAAUUCUUGUAUUGUAUCUUCAAGAUCAUACUACAAUACUUGAGUAUCGUCUCUUUUAUAUAUACAUUUUAAAUAAAUUAGGGUCAUUAUAUUUUUUUUCUUAUGUUCUGUUGGAUGUUAUGGAUAAAUAGAUGUUCAUAUUUGAUUUGAUUGAAUUUUGAAACGUACCAUAGGAGCGUUUCAAUUCAACCUUUCUCAAAGCAAUCUAUUUGUAUUCAUAUAAGCAGCGAGCAUGCUAUUAACUAUGUCAGCUGCGUUCAGUUUCAGACUCCAAUUACUAUCAAGUCACCGGGCAGAAAGACGUGGCCAUUCCUUUUAGCAGUGUUUACACCAUUUUAGAGUUUUGGUGUUGGGUUGGAGAUGAUAUCAUGCAUCUCUGCCUCUUUUAACACCUCUUCGACUGAUUUCCUUCUCAGACCCCCUCAUUUGCUUCUCUGGACUCUUUAAUUCAGUCUUUAAGAUUGCAAGGCAGUCUUCUACAGAGUCAGAAGUGCAAACCUUCAUAGAGAAGCUACAAACAAAGAACUAAUUCCAGUAACAGGUGUUCAAUAACUUGUGAAUUAAAUCUUAGAGAGUAAAGAAUGAACUCUCAAAAUGCAUCACAAGAAGUAGAAGCACUUUAAAAAAGCUGAGAAUGCUAACUUGUCUCUCACAACUUCUGAUUCUUUUCCAAACACUUUAUUAACUUAUUUAUUUCUAACGUCUACUCCACUUCUUUAAUUUAAUCAAGAAGUGACUUCUUUUAAGUUAACCCAAACGGCCCAAUAAUCUCUUAGAACGUCUCUCCAAGAAAUCUUGGUUAAAAUUCACUAAUACAUACCAUAAAUAAAAAUAGAGGCUAUGUACAAAACAAUUCAACUCCAAUGAGACCUUCCCCUUAUAUAUAAUUAUAGCCAACCUUUAUUGAUGUAGCAAGAUUUUACAUCAUUUAUUACUAUAUUAAAACAUUAUAUUAUAUUUACACAACUUGAAAUAAUAAUUAUACACUUUUUUAAAAUAUAGCCGAUCAAAAUAGUUAGUACCAUUAAAACACAAUAUUUUACAGGUUCCACAAAUUUUAUAUAAUAUCUUGCGAUCAAAUUUAACUAAUCAGUUACAGACUUAUAGUCAAUACUAUUAUACUAUUGUAGAUGCUAUUUAAUUAAUUAGUUAUAAUCAAUAGUAUUCUAGAUGCUAAAGUCCUGUUUACCAAGUAUUUUUUAACCAACACAAUUGCAGAUCCUCUUAUAAUUACAGUCUAUGAUUUGUUGGAAUUAGGAAUCGACGAUCACUUCAAGAUUUGGAAAUGUUAUACCCGCUCCAAUCUCCAAACGGAUACAAGCCGUCCCGAAUGAGGACUAGAGAUCUCUGCGGAGAUUCGAGAAAUUUGUCUUUUCUAAAAAAAAUUAUAUUAUAAUAUAUGAUCUUUGAUUAAAAUUAUUUUAGUAAGUUGUCAUAAUAUACAAUGUUUUUAGUUAUAUUUUGAGUACCAAUUCGAAUAAUACUCAUUUAUAAUAAAAAUAAAAGAGUAGAUUUAAUAUAAUUUGUUUGUAUUAUAAUAUGAAAUGAUUUAAUCAAUGUGAUGAAAGAGAUUAUUUAAAUUUUCAUAUAUAUAUAUAUAUAUAUAUAUAUAUAUAUAUAUUUAUCAUUAAUAUUUUGUAUAAUAUAAUAUACAUAAAUAUAUUCAUAUUAUAUAUGAAAAUCGGGAAAUUUCAAGACGGUUCGCGACCAGAAAAUAUUAAUUUUUGAAUCCGUCCCGAUCUCCGAAUUCUGGUAUAUAAUUUUUUUCCAAUCUCUAUCCCGUACUCGAGAGAAUCUCUUAUUUAUGAUUUCGUGCCGAACGGCCCGAACCUGAUAAACGAAAAAAUAGGUGGUCUUUUCUGGAAUCGAGCGGGACAGACUGGAUCGGGUCGGUCAGAUGGGACAGGGACACGUCCUCAGUUGACAUCAGGCUUAAAACUAGGGGUGUAAACAAACCAAACUGUUGGUGAGCUACUCGAGCUCGGCUCGUAAAAUAUUCGGAUUUGAUUCGGUAGUAAUCAAGCCGAGCUCGAGAUCGAGCUAUUUGGAUGUUUUACCGAGCUGAGCUCGAGCUUCAAAUUACUCGGCUCCUAAGGUUCGCGAGCCUUAUCGAGCCUCUACUAUUAUUUAAUCUUUUUUAUUAUAAAUAUAUUUUUACAAAUAUAUUUAAUAUUUUAUUUAUAAAUCAUAUAUUUAAUCGAAUCGAACUCGAGCCAAACCGAUCAUAUUUCGAGUUUUUGUCAAUAUUUAGUGUCUCGAUUCGAGAUUCCGAGCUGAACUCGAGCCUAUCAAACUGUUUACGAGCCGAGUUUCGAACUUGAAAUUAAAGCCUCGGUCGAACUCGAACUCGAGCUCGAGCCCCGAACUUUUCAAUUGAGUUCGAGCCGAGCCUGACAGUGUUCUACUUGUCUCGGCUUGAUUACACCCCUACUCAGAACUCAGAAGAAAGCCAGUAUAAUAUGAUCGCCCACCACGUUUUUUUUCCCUGUCAUCAAUUGCUAGAGCUCAGUGCACCUGAAGCUCAACCAUAUAUGACCAUAUCAUAUUAAUGACUGUUGCAAUCAACCAUUUGUGAUCUUUGUCUGUACAGGGACAGCACUUGGAAAUAAUAAAUCCUCUUUUUCUUUUCUUUGUUUUCCUUCUUUUCCAAAUCAUAUAAAUCGUUUUUAUUAUCACUAACACAAUCAAAACAGACUGCUGCAAUAUCACAAUGUAAUAGUUGAACACCAGUAGCAAUAGCAACUACAAUUGUGUUAAAUUGAAGUAGGCCGAGGUCCUUACAUUCCCUAUAGGCAGACUAUUUCCGCCAACAUAAAAAGUCAAACUUAAUCAGAGAGAUCCAGAAUUCAAAUUUUAUUUUGUCGUAUCAGUAACAACUAGGGAGGUGUUUGGUUCAUGGUUAAUGAGCCCGGUUAACGGGAAUCGGAACCUUAAUCCCAUAACAAGUGUUUGGAUUAGUUAUUUGAUGCUAUGGAAUGAGAACCUCAAUCUUUUAAGGUGGUUAAAUCAUACCCUUCCCACCCCUUGGGGUUACCAUACCAUUCCCAUUCCCGAUUCCUAUUCCCAACCUCAAUCCAAACGCCCUAAGAACUUGAUAUCGACAAUUAUGUUCACCUAAAUCAGUUAUAUCUAAACUCCGCGCCUCAGCCUCAUGUCGAGUGGGCCUAUUGGAUCCCUUGCUAACGUAGUACCACCUUCUAGCUAUUUACUUCAUUUGGUCCUGCAAAUCCAAAUAUAGUUGAAAGCAAUAAAUUGGAUAUGAACAAUUUCUCAGUACUGGAGAUCAGAUUAUAGGUUUUGCUCUUGCGUACCAUUGUACAUAACUAAUAAGCUUGAUUAAACUGUGGUGAAUUGAAUUGAGAUUUUAAAAGAUAUUUUUUUUUUCAUUUGUGAAAUCUUGGAUAUUCAACUUUGAUUUUAAAAAAUUGUAACAGAAUCUUGAGGUAUUCAAUUAAGAUUUUAAAAUAUACUAUAAAAUCUGGUGAUAUUCAAUAAAGAUUUUAAAUUAUGCUUAAAAAUCCAAUAGUAUUCGAUUGUGAUUAUUUAAACUUCAUUAAAAUCUGAUGAAUAUUAAAUGAUUUUUUUGGAUUUCAUCGAAUGAUGGAUUUUGUGAGAUUGUUCAGUGUAUUUUAAUUAUUUGAUAUCCCACCAAAAUCCACGAGAUAUUAAAGCAUUGUGCUUAAAUCUUAAAGAUUCGACAACAUUUUAUCAAAAAUCCGCAUCAGAUACAACCCACAAAAAUUCAUAGACUAUAUAAAUUCAUUAAAAUACCAGUUGAACACGACCUCUAAUCCUUGUUUAGAACCAUUACUAGCUGCAAGUCUGCAGCUCAAAGCGAGCCACUAAACUCAGAUGAGCAAACAAGGCAUUUCCAUGGAGAAGGUGCGGUCCAGUGCUGGGCUUCUGCAUACGAAGUCACCCUUGCGUCGCACUUGGUUCAACCGUGUGUUUGCAGUCACAUACCUCAUACCGAUAUGUGCACUGAUGUAUCAUCACUGCCAUAACAUUAUUACUAGUACUGAUCAACUUACCAAGAGAAACACUAUAAUUUUUUUGGUAGCUGAUUCCAUUCUGGCCUUUAUGUGGAUAACUCGGCAGGCAUUUCGCAUCUCGCCCAUCCGUCGCCAGGUAUUUCCCGAGAACCUGACAGAGGAUGAGAGAGAAUAUCCAGCUCUGGACGUGUUUGUAUGCACUGCUGAUCCGUACAAGGAGCCACCAAUAGGCGUGGUGAACACCGUGUUGUCCCUGAUGGCUUAUGAUUAUCCGAGGGAGAAAUUGUCUGUCUAUGUAUCGGAUGAUGGAGGAUCACAGCUCACACUGUUUGCUCUGAUGGAAGCUGCUGAGUUUGCUAAACAUUGGCUCCCGUACUGCAAGAAACACGACAUACUUGACAGGUCACCCGAGGCCUAUUUUACAUUACAGACUAAUUUUGGUUUCCCAGAGACCGGUGCUGCUGCAAAAUAUGAUCAAAUUAAGGUACUUCUAAGCCAACCAUCUAAACUUUUUUUUUUUUGGAAAUUUAUCAAUGCUGACUCAUGGAUUGUUGAAGGUUAUGUACGAAAGGAUGAAAUUGAGGAUAAAUGANAUGAACCCUCUCCAAGCCUUCUGCUUUGGACACUAUGCGAUUUGGCCCAUUUGGUCGAUUCCUCUUAUUAUCUAUUCCUUCUUGCCUCAGCUCGCUCUAAUCAAUUCUUCACAUGCUAUUUUCCCAAAGGUAAGCUAAAAACUGCACUACUACAGGGUCGAUCAAGUUCAAAUUUUGUAACGUGAAGAGUUGGUACACAGUAUAAAUAGGUAUUCAUAGUAGUUUAAUUAUUUUUGCUCUAAUUAUGAUGUCAGGUGACAGAUCCUUGGCUGUUUUUCUUGUAUGUGUUUCUUUUCCUUGGUUCAUAUGUGCAACAUCUUCUCGAAUAUGUUACAUUUGGAUCUCCAGCCAAAAGGUGGUGGAACAGUCAGAGAGUGUGGAUGAUGAGAGCACUUUCAAGCUUUCCAUUUGCAUUGAUUGAAUAUAUACUAGAAUGCUGGGGAGUAUCAUCGUUUGGGUUCAAUGUGACUAGCAAGGUACUUGAUAGUGAACAAAGCAAACGUAACGCAGAAUGUAUGUUUGAAUUCGGAGUGCCUUCUCCACUUUUUGUUCCAAUAAAUAUGGCGGCAAUGAUCAACUUGUGGGCGUUUUUACAUGGGAUAAAACAAGUGAUUAAGAGGAAUGAAAGCUUUGAAGAUAUAUUUGUGCAGAUGUUUUUAGCUGGCUUUGGAGUGCUUAAUUGCUGGCCCAUCUAUGAAGCCAUGUUAUUGAGAAGGGAUAAAGGAAGGAUGCCAUUAAAGAUAACUUUAUUAUCAACCUUCCUAGCAUGGCUUGUUUAUCUGAUAUCCUCUUCAGCCUUUUGAAAACUAGUAUUGUUUU